GGGGUCGUGGCCUAGUCCGGCAUGGCGACGGGCUCCAGCGGUCUUUGCGUAUGAUGAACAAUGGGUCUCCUGAUUCAAGGAUGAUGAUCCGUUGGAGCACUGAUGCAGAUGUGCUCAUUCGCAUGUCGGAGAGACCCGUCGAUCGUGAGUUCAAAUCUCACCGACCCCA
rnacentral:tRNA from 1 species